rnacentral:rRNA from 1 species
GACGAACGCUGGCGGCGUGCUUAACACAUGCAAGUCGAGCGGUAAGGCCCUUCGGGGUACACGAGCGGCGAACGGGUGAGUAACACGUGAGUAAUCUGCCCAUCACUUCGGGAUAACUCCGGGAAACCGGUGCUAAUACCGAAUAUGACCACUUCAGGCAUCUGAUGGUGGUGGAAAGUUCCGGCGGUGAUGGAUGAGCUCGCGGCCUAUCAGCUUGUUGGUGGGGUAGUGGCCUACCAAGGCUUCGACGGGUAGCCGGCCUGAGAGGGUGACCGGCCACACUGGGACUGAGACACGGCCCAGACUCCUACGGGAGGCAGCAGUGGGGAAUAUUGGACAAUGGGCGAAAGCCUGAUCCGGCAACGCCGCGUGAGGGAUGACGGCCUUCGGGUUGUAAACCUCUUUCAGCAGGGACGAAGCGCAAGUGACGGUACCUGCAGAAGAAGCACCGGCCAACUACGUG